rnacentral:rRNA from 1 species
AUUGAACGCUGGCGGCAGGCCUAACACAUGCAAGUCGAGCGAGCGGCGGACGGGUGAGUAAUGACUGGGAAACUGCCUGAUGGAGGGGGAUAACUACUGGAAACGGUAGCUAAUACCGCAUACCAUCAGAUGUGCCCAGAGGGGAUUAGCUAGUUGGUGGGGUAAAGGCCUACCAAGGGGACGAUCUGUAGCGGGUCUGAGAGGAUGAUCAUCCACAGUGGGACGGAGAAACGGCCACGACUCCUACGGGAGGCAGGAGUGGGGAAUAUGGGACAAUGGGGGGAACCCUGAUCCAGCCAUGCCGCGUGUGUGAUGAAGGCCUUAUGGUUGUAAAGCACUUUAAGCGAGGAGGCGUUACUCGCAGAAUAAGCACCGGCUAACUCUGUGCCAGCAGCCGCGGUAAUAC